rnacentral:rRNA from 1 species
AGAACGAACGCUGGCGGCAGGCUUAACACAUGCAAGUCGAACGCCCCGCAAGGGGAGUGGCAGACGGGUGAGUAACGCGUGGGAAUCUACCCAGAUCUACGGAACAACAGUUGGAAACGACUGCUAAUACCGUAUACGCCCUACGGGGGAAAGAUUUAUCGGAUUUGGAUGAGCCCGCGUAAGAUUAGCUAGUUGGUGGGGUAAUGGCCUACCAAGGCGACGAUCUUUAGCUGGUCUGAGAGGAUGAUCAGCCACACUGGGACUGAGACACGGCCCAGACUCCUACGGGAGGCAGCAGUGGGGAAUAUUGGACAAUGGGCGCAAGCCUGAUCCAGCCAUGCCGCGUGAGUGAUGAAGGCCUUAGGGUUGUAAAGCUCUUUCAGUAGGGAAGAUAAUGACGGUACCUACAGAAGAAGCCCCGGCUAACUUCGUGCCAGCAGCCGCGGUAAUACGAAGGGGGCUAGCGUUGUUCGGAUUUACUGGGCGUAAAGCGCACGUAGGCGGUUUGUUAAGUCAGGGGUGAAAUCCCGGAGCUCAACUCCGGAACUGCCUUUGAUACUGGCAAGCUAGAGUCCGGAAGAGGUAAGUGGAACUCC